AUUUUAGUAGUUUAAUUUAAAAUUUUGAUUUUGUAAUUCAAGGAUGAUUCAUUAUAAUCUUAAAAUC
rnacentral:tRNA from 1 species